rnacentral:tRNA from 1 species
GCCUGGGUGGCUCAGUCGGUUGAGCGUCUGACUUUGGCUCGGGUCAUGAUCUCACAGUCUGUGAGUUCGAGCCCCGCAUCGGGCU